rnacentral:ncRNA from 2 species
GAAAACCGUUAGGGGUGUUGUCCCACUUUUUCGUGCGUGAUGACUGAGAACAUACCCUUUAACCUGAUCCGGGUAAUUCCGGCGUAGGGAAACUGAAUUAUUUUUUA